ACGGGUGAGUAACGCGUAUCCAACCUGCCCCGUCUACUUGGGAAAUAACCUUGCGAAAGUAAGACUAAUGCCCAAUGACAUUUAUAGAAGGCAUCUGAAAUGAAUUAAAGAUUUAUCGGUGAUGGAUGGGGAUGCGUCUGAUUAGCUUGUUGGCGGGUAACGGCCCACCAAGGCGACGAUCAGGUAGGGUUCUGAGAGGAACGGUCCCCCACAUUGGAACUGAGACACGGUACCAAACUCCUACGGGAGGCAGCAGUGAGGAAUAUUGCACAAUGGGGGAAACCCUGAUGCAGCGACGCCGCGUGAAGGAAGAAGUAUCUCGGUAUGUAAACUUCUAUCAGCAGGGAAGAUAAUGACGGUACCUGACUAAGAAGCCCCGGCUAACUACGUG
rnacentral:rRNA from 1 species